rnacentral:misc_RNA from 1 species
CUCCAUGGCCUGCAUCAGCU